GGGGGCGAAAUAGGGCUCGACAGGAAGGAAGGCAGGGAUAAGGUUGCCUGUAGAGUUUGUCGUGUGCUCUUUAAAACACGGCAACAAAUAACUGCCAAUACGGCAAACGCUCUGGCUGCAUAAAUAAUGCAGUCACCCGUCCAUAAAGGGUCUUCCUCGCCCUUGUGGCGCGGGUCGGCAAAGAGGAGAUUCUCUUCAGGGUUUACCUUUAUCCUUGAGGGGAAUUAACAAAAAGGUUGCGGAAGGCAGACGGUGUCCGGUGCUGGAUGUCUUCUUAAGAAUAAAACACUGGAAUACACAGGUAGAUACCUUAUCAAUGCCCUUUCUGGACGCGGGGGCAGUACCCGCCGCCUCCACCA
rnacentral:tmRNA from 1 species